rnacentral:lncRNA from 10 species
CAUAACAACAGUGAAGAUGAACUUCUAGUCUAUGAGCAAGUGGCGUUGCAAUGUUUGUAUCUCAGGAAGAAAACAUCCCAUCCAGUCCACAAAUAGCUAUCACAUUGAAACAAGCCAAAGAGUCAUCGUGAUCAUAGCUAUCAAAAGAAGUAUUAAAAGGAUAGUAUGGAAUUCAACCCAGCAUGACCACAGAAGUGGGACGCUCAGUCAGCCACGCCUGUAUUGUGUUCAACCACGUGAG